AUAAUUGGUGCCCAUGGAGACUUGUCCAUAGUUAGCCAAUUCUUCUUAGUGUACAUUUUAAAACUUGUUUUUUUUUUUACAGUUGUGGCUAUGUGUUUGUUUUAAAGGUUGGAAGUCACUUACCCAAGCACCUUGUAGGCAAUCAGCCUUCCAUGAGUCCAGGAUGUAAAGAUCAUUAUCUGCUAAAAAAGGAUGAACAAAACAAUGAACUUCAGACUCUGACUCCAAAUAGAAAUUUCUCUGGAUAUAACCAAAAGAAACUCCAAGAGGAAAAUAUUAAAUUAAAGCAUGAGUUAAAGGACUUAAGGAGUCUGUAUGAACAGCUUUUAGAAGAAGGAAAGAGUGAGUGUUUUGAUGAAAGACGUGUCAAUCUUCUGAAGGCACAAGUAAUGCAGUUGGAGAGGCAGGUAAUAAUAUGACUCUCUUCUUCCCCCUCACCCCAAAGAAAUAGUUCUUAAAUUUGUUUAAGAACAUCUUUUCCUCUGGAUCUCUUAAUGUGAAAGAGCACAUUAUUCGAAGGUAGGUGUCCAGCAGGUGUCUAGUCUGUGCCCCUAGCACAAGGCUAAGGGAACAUUUGUAACUAUAGAUUUAUAGUUUUCUCUAUACAUAUAGCAGGUGAUACAAUUCACUGACAGGAAGAAAGUAUAACAAUUUCUAACUGUGUACUAUCUAUCUGUCUGUCUUUCCUUUUUUCAUUGUUUCAUGUAGAUACCACCUAAGUAGAGCUGCUCUGUUUGGUGGCUGGGGGAGG
rnacentral:lncRNA from 1 species